CUGAAGCUGCAGGCAAGGGCCAGCGGCGGCCACGGCCUAAGGACCAGUUCCCCGUCGGCAUGCGCGUGCUCGCCGUCGACGACGACCCGACCUGCCUCAAGGUCCUCGAGAACCUCUUGUUCCGCUGCCAGUACCAUGUGACAACAAUGGGACAGGCAGCCACGGCCCUGAGCUGCUGAGGGAGAAGAAGGACCAGUUUGACCUUGUGAUCAGCAACGUCCACAUGCCGGACAUGGACGGCUUCAAGCUCCUCGAGCUUGUGGGCCUCGAGAUGGACCUUCCGGGGAUUAACAACUGAAAACCUUGCCCGAUUUGUAAAGAAGUUUUCUUGUUCAAUGCGGCAUUGAAUUUGGGAGGAAUGGCAAGUCUCAUGAAAACUUCUAUAUGCCCUACACGUGACCACUAAAAGAAAGAGUUAGACAGGACAAAAGGCUGCAGCGGCAGAAGAAGAGCUUUUACAUACCCUUACAAUGCUGAUUUUGAUGGAGAUGAAAUGAAUUUGCAUGUCCCUCGGACGGAGGAAGCUCGCACUGAAGCGCUUAAUUCUCAUAGGGGUUCAAAAUAAUUUAUGUACUCCUAAGAAUGUGAUGGGGGGUACUUCAAUGCAAUAAUGAGCUUCCCACAAAAUUACCCAAACAGCCCGCCAUCAGUCAGAUUUACCUCUGAAAUGUGGCAUCCAAAUGUCUAUCCUGAUGGGCGGGUUUGCAUCUCUAUUCUUCAUCCACCCAGUGAAGAUCCAAACGGUUAUGAGCUCGCAAGUGAGCGAUGGACACCUGUGCACACAGUAUGGCUUCGUAUACUUUGUUUACAUAUCUUUUCCCCAUUGUAAUGUUACUCAUCUCCCUUUUAUGUGUAUACUUUUUAGAGAGAAAAUUACCUUGUAGUCUCAUUGUUUCAGUUUAUGGUCCAAUUUACAAUGGCUUCACUGUAAAUGGGAAAACAACUCGGUAGGAAUGCUUUUUUGAAUUAUAAAUUAUUUCUAUUUCAUACGAUGCUUAUAGGUAUGUGAUGAGUCCUCCAAUCUGAGAAGUAGAGCAUGGUAAAGCACUCCAAGCUGCUCUUUCAUCGGGAAAUUUAUAGCUUGUAGGUACUGAUCACAGCACAUUCAACUCCACAUAGAUUGUCCAUGUUUCUUUCAGUCACCAUGAUUUAUCACUAGGUCAUUGUGUUUGUGGCCAACGAGUAUUGUUCUAACAGUUAUGUUCCCAUAGCUAGCUGGAUUCAUUGUUGUGUUUUGUUCAGGGUACUUUCACCACUUCUGGUAUGGUUCUGUCUGUAAUGUGCCAGGGAUUAUUAUAUUGUUUUUGGUUUGGAUUUGGAAUGGUUUGGGGUCCACAACGAUGAUGCGUCAGAGCUGUUCCAAGGGUUGGAUGAUUUCCAUUCCCCUGCUGUCAAUUUGACUAGGCUCGCCGUCUCCGCUCUGCCCAACUGGCACCAAGCAGCCAAUGGAACUUGAGCAUCCAAUGGAUGAUUUCCAUUCCCCUGCUGCCAAUUCUCCAAACUGCUUUGACCCUUCAACUCAAUCCGCAUGUACCCAGUAAAUGUUCAAUCUGAAUUUGGAUCAUUGCUAGCAGGAUUCUUUGCUUGCUCUUCUACUUCUGAAAAUUCGCAAAAUGGAUAGAUAAUUCCAGUUAAUUUUAAUCCAUUACAGUAGCCUGUUGUGGCAGCAAACAGCGACCGGGUGCGGAAGCCGGAAGGGAGAGGCGCUUGGUUGACCCGGAACGGACGGCAAGACACCGCCGGGGGUUCACUGCAACCGCACGCGUGGUGGCCGGUGUGGGAAGGAGCCCACUGCUCAAGCAGCGACGACUUCCGCAACUUCUCAGGCCAAGUUGUAGGGAGGGAGGGCAGCAAAGAAAGCAAGCAAGAAAGAAGCCGAUUCCACUGGUGGUUAAGGUUUUGGAUUAAAGGAGAGAGGUGCAGAGAAAAAAAGGCAAUCUUACUCUUAAUCUCUGUGUCCACAUCACUUCCGAUCAUGCUGUGAUCGACAGAAGUACGGGUGCCAUGGAUAAGUGCCUCCUCCUACUCACCAAAGUAAUAAGGAGCAGCUGCUGCAGGUUGCAACUCCCUGGGCCAAGCAGUAGCGCAGCAAGUUCAGCACCAAUGGCAGCCAUAUGAAAUAUAAGGCAAAGCAGAUAAAAAGCUUAAUUUUUUUUCAAGAAGGUAAAGGCAAUGACAGAAAAGUGAGGAGGGUCAGAGGUGUACAGAUAUGGAUGAGGGCUGAAAAGAGGAGCAGGAAGGUAAGAUCACUUGCACCAAUAAUAGGGAUCACCGUGAAUUAAAAUAUGAGUAGUGAUCAUGUCAGUUAAAUGCUCAUCAUGUUUCUUCUUAGGCUUUCUUAUUUAUAUCUACAUCUGUGUGAAUUUUUUGUACUAUAAAUUUGUGCCUUCUCGCUAAUAUAAUGUUUUAUUACUGUCAGUAUAUUAAGUGGUAACUGGCCAAUGCAAUUAGAAGUAGAAAAGCCUUGUGCAUUUGUUUUUUUAUCUCGGUGUUGUUUGCGCCUCUGCCGUAUCUGUGUUCAAGCCUCAGUGGACAUAUACUCACCUAUCUUGGAGAUAUGAUAUAUAGUAAUAUAGCUCAUUGGGUUCUUUCCAUUUGCUGCCAAGCUUUAGUAGGGUAUUGUUUACUACCCUGGCUUUUCUUGUCCUAGCAGAAGCACAAAACUAAUCAGGAUCAACCACUGCAAAAUGUGAUUGACAUAGAUCUCACACAUAUCUUCAACAUUGCACAAACAUGGGUGCCUUUUUCAUUCCUUGUGCUAAGACAAUAUUUUUAGCUCAUUCGGGGUACUGUACAAUCCAGAGUUUCUUUUUCGAUGCCAUACCAAUCGUUUGUCUCUGCUUGCUGAGACUUGAAGAAAACUUUGGUGCGUUGUCUCUUUUCGUUUCUGUCAGAUUCAUUGCUGCCUUCCAGCAAUCCAGCUCUUUACCCUUUACAGUAUUUCCUUUCCAUUUGAUAAAUCUGUACUUUUUUAGGCUUGAAAUCUUCUUUCUCUGUUCUGAGGACUGCUGCAAACUUGUAACAGAUGGAUUAAUCGCUUCUUUUCUUAUUUUUUAGGGCAUGAUGAAAUCAGUGUUUGCUAUUUAGCCUCCUUCACAACUAAGAUCAUCCUACAUAAUAGAUUUAGACAACAAAAACUUAUGGAGUUUGCUGAAAUGCCCUUUCAGGCAUGCCCCAUCUGUGCUACAAGGGUCGGAAUGGACUUGAUAGGACAUUUGACUAUGCAACACGGAAGUUAUUUCAAGAUAUCCUUUUUUAACUAUGCUGCCGUUGCUGAUCAUUUGCAUUUUUACAUUUUUCACAUUAUACUACAGUUGAAGAUACAUAGGUGUCAUGGUCGGGCGCACGUCACGGUCAUGUUGAAUUGUAACUUUUCUCUGGUUCUUGAGCCAGCAACAUGACCGGUUUAAUGGUGUUUUUGAGAAUUCUGUUGAUUCCUUCUAAAUGUUAAAAUUAUGUUCACUACCAGGUUAUUAGCUUUUGUACUGCACUUCCACACACAUACAUAUUUUUUCUUUUUUCUUAUACCUUCCAUGUCGUCUGGUCCAGAACUUGUACACUGUGGGGUUAAUUAUGGAUAUGGAUCUAUGAAAUAUUAUUAGCAUGAAAAUAUACAUGGCGUGUAUGGAACAAAAUGGACUCUAAUGCUUUUUCUUGUGAUGUAGGAUGCUUUUGGCGCUGAGAGGAGGAAAGCUAUAAGAUGCUAAAUCUCUCCAUUGCAUACGGAAAAACGUAGGAAGGGCACUGCAGCUGAUGUUGCUAUGUGUGCAAUGCUUGAGAUAGACAGAAAUACUCGUCUUAAGGAGCUUGGUUGGGCGCUACUCAUGUGGGUAGUUUAUGCAUAAAGUUAUGCCUGUUCGCUGCUUAAAUGUUGCCAUAUUUUGUUUUUCUCUUUGAAACUGUGAAGGGCACAACUUUUUAACGACUUCUGUAACUUGUGUAUCUAACAUCUGUAUUCGGUAUUCUGAGUUAAAAUGGGCACAUUUAAUUAUAUUUUACAUAAUUUGUUUUAAAGAAUA